CCUACGGGGGGCAGCAGUCGAGAAUCAUUCACAAUGGGGGAAACCCUGAUGGUGCGACGCCGCGUGGGGGAAUGAAGGUCUUCGGAUUGUAAACCCCUGUCAUGUGGGAGCAAAUUAAAAAGAUAGUACCACAAGAGGAAGAGACGGCUAACUCUGUGCAAGCCGCCGCGGUAAUACAGUGGUCUCAAGCGUUGUUCGGAAUCACUGGGCGUAAGGCGUGCGGAGGCUGUUUCGUAAGUCGUGUGUGAAAGGCGCGGGCUCAACCCGCGGACGGCACAUGAUACUGCGAGACUAGAGUAAUGGAGGGGGAACCGGAAUUCUCGGUGUAGCAGUGAAAUGCGUAGAUAUCGAGAGGAACACUCGUGGCGAAGGCGGGUUCCUGGACAUUAACUGACGCUGAGGCACGAAGGCCAGGGGAGCGAAAGGGAUUAGAUAACCUAGUAGUC
rnacentral:rRNA from 1 species